GGUAUGACAAGAAUGCAAGGAACAUAGAAUGGCUUGUUCGUCGAAUUGCUCGUACUAAGAAAAGAAAAUGGAGUAGUUAGACGAGCGUAACAGUGGUGACGAAGCCGAAUGGUACUUGGCAAAAAGGGCCUCUGGAAGACCGUGGAUGUUCGCAGUAGUUCUAGCUAGUCUAGACUAUUCAAGUUUGCUCCAAGAACCUUUUCCUCAAGAUUUUAUAUUUUAAGUCCACUAAUGGAUUUGCGCCAAUAGAUUUUAUUUACCAAA